UAGGGAAUCUUCCGCAAUGGACGCAAGUCUGACGGAGCAACGCCGCGUGAGUGAAGAAGGUUUUCGGAUCGUAAAGCUCUGUUGUUAAGGAAGAACGAGUGUGAGAAUGGAAAGUUCAUGCUGUGACGGUACUUAACCAGAAAGGGACGGCUAACUACGUGCCAGCAGCCGCGGUAAUACGUAGGUCCCGAGCGUUGUCCGGAUUUAUUGGACGUAAAGCGAGCGCAGGCGGUUAGAAAAGUCUGAAGUGAAAGGCAGUGGCUCAACCAUUGUAGGCUUUGGAAACUGUUUAACUUGAGUGCAGAAGGGGAGAGUGGAAUUCCAUGUGUAGCGGUGAAAUGCGUAGAUAUAUGGAGGAACACCGGUGGCGAAAGCGGCUCUCUGGUCUGUAACUGACGCUGAGGCUCGAAAGCGUGGGGAGCGAACAGG
rnacentral:rRNA from 1 species